AUUUUGUUUGUUUUAUCCUCUUUUGGGACAAUUUUGGGUAUAAGUGUUGUCUAUACACGCCUAAUCCAUCUUUAACUCGUAUAAUUAGUCAAAUGCAUUGGAUUGUAACUUAUUUUGACCAAAGAAACACUAACAAAGCUAUUGACUGCUUCUAUGCAAUUUUUUGUUGGUUUUAUCAUCUUUUGGGAGAAAAUGGGUAUAAGUGUUGUCUAAACACUCCUUAUCUAUCUCUAACUCAUAUAAUUAUUCAAAUGCAUUGGAUUGUGACACAUUCUGACCAAAGAAACACUAACAACGCUAUUGACUGCUUCUAAGCAAUGUUUUGUUGGUUUUAGCCUCUUUUGGGAGAAAAGUGGUGUAAGUGUUGUUAGAACACUCCUAAUCCAUCUCUAACUCUUAUAAUUAUUCAAAUGCAUUGGAUUGUGACAUAUUUUGACCAUAGAAACACUAACAAAGCUGUUUAGUGCUUCUAAGCAAUUUUUGCUGGUUUUAUCCUCUUUUGGGACAAAAUGGGUAUAAGUGUUGUCUAAACACUCCUACCCCAUCUCUAACUCUUAUGUUAGUCCAAUGCAUUGGAUUAUGACACAUUUUGACCAUAGAAACACUAACAAAGCUAUUGACUGCUUCUAAGAAAUGUUUUGUUGGUUUUAGCCUCUUUUGGGAGAAAAUGGAUAUAAGUGUUGCCUAAACACUCCUAAUCCGUCUUUAACUCUUCUAAUUAGUCAAAUGCAUUGGAUAUCCUGGCACAUUUUAACCAUAGAAACACUAACAAGGCUACUGACUGCUUCUAAGCCAUUUUUUGUUGGUUUUAGCCUCUUUUGGGAGAAAUUGGUGUAAGUGUUGUCUAAACACUCCUAAUCUAUCUCUAACUCUUAUAAUUAGUCAAAUGCAUUGAAUUGUAACAUAUUUUGACCAUAGAAACGCUAACAAAGC
rnacentral:sRNA from 1 species